UAUCUUAUUGUCAUUUCUUUUCUCAUUCAAAAUAAGUAUGCUCAUACCUAAUUUUGAAUUUCUAAAUUGUUUUUUACCCGAAGAUGGUCUCAAAAACUCCAGAAGCUUCAGAUGUCACAUGGAAAAUACCAAUUAGGAAGCCCUGGAGAAGACUGGAACUGAAGCAAAGAGCUAGUGUGCACUGCUCUAUCUUCGUUAUGAGUCAUAUCCCUUAACAUUAUUUUCGUCAUUCUUUGUCUAUUUAAACCUCGUUUUUAAUCCAUGUGAUUUAAAACAAGUUAUCUUCACUGAUUUGACAGGUAUGUUUGAGUCCUUUUAUAGUAUGUUACAUUGUUUAGUCUGGUUUUCUUUAAAUUAAUUGACUUUAUUUUUCAAAAGUUACAGGUUUAUAGACCUAUUGAGCAGACAUUAGGUGAGUUCCUAUAUAUAUCCUCUCUUCUCCUGCACGUAAUUUCCCCUAUUAUUAACAUUUUCCAUUAGUGUGGUGUAUGUGGUACAAUUAAUUAACUAAAAUUGGUUAUUAUUAUUAACUAAAUUCUGAAGUUUGCACUAGGGCGGCUUACUCUUCAUGUUGUCUAUUCAAAGGGUUUCGACAAAUAUAUGUUAUGUAUCCACCAAUGGAUUACCAUAUAAAAUAGUUUCAAUGCCCUAAAAAUCGACUGUGCUCUAUGCAUUUAUUCCUCUCUCUCACCCCUCAAAAUCUUGACGGCCACCAAUGCUUUUGCUGUCUCUAUAGUUUUGUCUUUUGCAGAAUGUCACAUAGUUAGAAUCACACAGGAUGUAGCCUUUUCAGAAUGGCUGCUUUCACUUGGCAAUAAGCAUUUAAUGAGGAACAUCAAAUAUCCUCCAUAUCUCUUAGUGGUUUGAUAGCUCAUUUCUUUUUAUUGCUAAUAAUAUUCCAUUCUAUGGAAUGGAUCCAUAGUUUGUUUAUUCAGUCACUUAUUGAAGGACAUCUUGGUAGCUUCCAAUUUUUAGCAAAUAUAAAUAAAGCUGCUAUAAAUUGUGUGUAGGUUUUGUUUUGACUUAAGUUUUCAACUCAUUAGGGAAACUUCUAGGAGCAUGAAUGUUGGAUCAUAUUGUAAAACUACAUUUAACUUUGUAAGGCUGGGCUCUCAGGGGUUUUUAAUCUCUCAAACUGGCUCAUUCGCAGCCUCUAGCAAUUAGUCAGUUUAUAGCCUACCAGUUUCUGGUAUUCAUUGUGAGCUUCUGCUUCUGGGCCUCUCUGCUCCUGGUAAGCCGUGAUUCUCUGUAUUCACCUUUCUGUUUAUUUUUCGGGGUGAUAGUUUACCCUGUGACAUCAAUAAUCUAAUGGAUCUAAGAAGAGUUGAUGGUUUUGUUUGUUUUGGGUGUUGAGAGGACAGAAGGACAAUUUUCAAGCUCUUUACAAAAGUCAGACUGGAAGCCAGAAGUCUAUCUUAUUUUUUAAGCAUUUAUCUUUCACUAGGUGUCCUGUUUUCUUUGCUUUUUAUUCCAACUGUCUGCUAUUUCUUUUUUACUGGUACUUUACAAUUUUACUUUUAUCAAAUGCCCUCAGUCCCCUCCUUUUUUAGUCCUUAAGUGUCUGCUCCCUACUAUGA
rnacentral:lncRNA from 1 species